rnacentral:lncRNA from 1 species
AGACACUCAAAUAUUUCCUCUGGCCUUGCGAUAAGCUAGCCGUUCAGAGGUAUGUAGAAGGUGUCCAGGAUCUUAUAGGUUAAAUGGACAUAAAGUUUGAUUGCAUUGUGGUGUUUUGGGAGUAUGAUAACUUACAGAGCAUGUGUGAGCAGGAUGAACUUGGGCACAGAGGCAGCACUGACAAAGUCUGCUUGAGCAUACAAAUGUAGGUAAUAAAAAAAGGGCACUAGAGCUGUGUUUGGAAUGUGAUUAGGAGUUUGCUAGGCAGAUAGAAUCAGCAGGAAAACUCUAGGCUGAUGGGAGUACAUGUACAAAGGAAUAGAAGGAAGAAAUUUGACUUAUUUGGGUAAUUGGAGAUGGCUGGCUGAGGGUUUGAGGCGAGGGGUGAAUGAGUUGAGGUUAGAAAGAUGGUAGUGAGAUCACAGAAGCCCUGUCUGUAGUGUUGGGUUUACAUUUUGCCUCAUAGGUAACAGGGAUUGUUUGAAAGAUUUUAAUCAGAAGAGUAAUUGAUCAGACUUUCAUUUUACACAGUUACUCUGGGGUCAGUGUAUAGAAUGGCUUGGAGAGAGAAGCUGGCAGUUUGGUGAGGAAUCCAAGUCAGAGUUAAUCAAUUAAGACCUGUUUUUAGGCAGUGGCAGUAGAGGAGGAUCUGACUUGAAAGCUAAAAUUAGUAGGAUUUUAAUGUGACCUCUUAAGAUGUGGUGGCUAUUGCCCUUUUCCUAAAUUGAGAAAGUACAGAUUAGCUAGAGAAAAGAUGGAUUUGAAUCACUUAUGUACUUAGUUAAUAGAAAUAUGACUAAAAGGAGCAGUUAGAAUUUGGGACUGAUGUACCUUUUUAAUAGAUGAAGGGGAGGCAGAGAAAGGGCAUUUUUGGGAAAAUAGAUAACUUUCUAGAAAGGUAAAGGGCCCUUAGGAGAAUAAUUCUGUGACAUUGUUUGGAUGUGGUCUGUUUAGGUGUCUUCUAAGAAGAUUAGAGUUGUUCCUGGGGAGGGGAUUAAUGGCAAUUGAGUUCUUUCCAUUUCUUUUGGGAGAUUCUCCUUUUAGGCUGAUAGGGAUUUUAGGAAUGCAAAUGCCUUUAGCUUGAAAUAAUUUUUAUACCACAGUAGUUGCUUCUUGAUCCUUUCUUGGUGAAGGAGAGGAGAAAUUACUGUGAUUCUGACUUGAGUGAUAGUGGUGCUAUUGAUAGUGAAGUACGCAAAGAAGAGCAUGUUUCAGAAGUGUAAAAAUUUUAUUUGUAUAAUCGAACUUGGAGCACCUGUGGAACAUACAGGUAGAGAUACUAGGAAGUAAUUAGAUAUAGAUCUGGGAGCUCAAGAGAGAGCUCAAAGAAGCCGAGGGUAUGGAUGAAGUAUACCUAGGAGAGUAGGAAGAGUGGGAAAAGAAAAAGGUUCUAGAGAUGAACCAGAGGGGGUUGGAAAAUGAGGGAGAUGGGGAAAAAUAAAAAAGAAAUUGAGCUUAUAAAGGAGACUGUAGGGAGAAAUAGCUGAGGACAAAGAGAACUGGGAGAGUUAUAGAAACCAAGGAGGGCGGGGGGGACAGGGUAGCAGGGAGAAUAAGCAGUAGGGAUCUACAAGGUCAGGUGCAGAGUAGAAUUAUAUAUGUUCAGAAAAUAUUUUUUGAUUCAGUGUAUAAUAAUGGUACAGUUUUGAGGAGGAAAUGGAGGAUUGUUUAUUUAAAAGAAUUUGGAACAGUUGGCUUACCAUUUUCCUUAUGACAAAAUACAUCUAAAAAUUAAACGUAAAAAAUUGGAAGUGAUAAAAAACUAGAAGAAAAUAUGGGCCAGUAUGUAGGUGUCAGACUAGAAUUCUGUACCCAGCAAAAAUAUUCUUUACCAGUGAGAACAAAAUUAUUACUUGUUUUGAUCAACAAAAUUUAUUAACUGAUAGAAUAACAAAGAAUCAGAGGGGUUAGAAAAUCUUAGUAACAUAAUUAGUAAACGUGACCUAAUUGAGAUGUCAUUUAGUAGUAGACUAGACAAAAUGGAAGAGAGAGUAUUUUGAAAAAAAGAAAUAUUCAAAACAAAAUAUGGGAUAUAACAAAACAUGAAAUAAAUACUUUGUGCCUAAUACAAUAGACUAUUCAUUCUUCUCAUAUGCACAGAGAACAUUUACCAAAAUUGCUGAUCCAUAAAGCAAGUUUUAACAAAUUUCAAGACUAAAAUUAGACUGUCAAACUUAGUAUAACGAUAGGUUUGAUAUUUGGAAAAUUGAUCAGUAUAAAACUUGCAGAAAAUAACGUGAUGAUGUCAAUAGAUGCAAUAUUGCCACUGGUAAAAUUCAACACUCAUUAAACAUGAAAUAGCAUAUUAUUAUUAAAAGGUAACUUCCUUAAUCUGGUGAAGGUUAGACUCAGAAAAAAGGUUAGAUCUCUGGCAUGCAUCAUGUUUAAUGGUGAAAAUGUUGAAUGUUUUCCUUUAGAGGCUGGGGAAAAAAUAAGUUAUUUUUAAUAUCACCAUUCCUGUUUAUUAAAGGACAUUCUACCUAAUUAAAUUAUAAGACAAGAAAAAUGGAGUAUGGAAGUCAAAAUAGAAUAAAUCUGAUUUUAUAGAUGACACAAUAGUGUAUGCACAAAGACUAAAAAUAUAUUCUUACAACUUAUUUUAAAUACUCACCAGACUGCAAAACUCAAAGUAACUUCAGACCCAUUUUUAUAUGCCAGUGACAAAUAGGAAAUGUAAUAAAAUAUAUCAGUUGUAAUAACAUAAAAAUCCAUAUUUUUCAGAAAAAGUUUAUGUCUAAAGCAAUAAACAUUAUUGAGAAAUGUUAAAGAACUACAGAAGGGGAUAUACCAUAUUCAUGGAUUAGAAGACCCUAUUGUAAAAUGUUGAUAUGCCUAAAAUUCAUCUAUGUACUCAGUAUAUCAAUCAAAAUGCCAGCAGAUUGUGUGUGUGUGUGUGUGUGGGGGGUGUGUAUGUGUGUGUGUGUGGAAAUUAACAAAUGGAUACUAAAAUGUACACGAAAAUGUAAGCAUCCAGGAAUGGCUGAAAAAAUUUUUGAAGGACAACAAAGUGAGCAGAUUUAUGUUUCAGGGUAGCAAGACUUAUUAUACAGCUAUAGUAAUACCAUACUCUUGUAUGGUUCUAGUAAAAGACUAGACAGACACACCAAUUGAACACAGUAGUCCAAAAAGAGACCUACAUUUGUAGGGCACUUGAUGUGUAUUACUUAAGAGGCCCUGCAGUGUAGUCCACAAAGGAUAGUCUCUGCAGUAAACGGUUUGUGGGGGCUGGGGACACAGCUCAGUGGUAGAACAGUUGCCUAGUAUGUGCAAAGCCCUGGGUUUGAUCCUCAUCACCAUCCAUCAAUCAAUAAAUAAAAUUAAAUAGAAAAAGAAAAAACGUAUUUGGUUAAUUACAUACAUAUGGGACAAACAAAAAUGUCACAAUGAUACUUUUUUUUUGUGAUGCUGGGGACUGAACCUAGGGCCUUCCUCAUACUAGGCAAGCAUACUACCAUUGCAUUGAGCCACAUCCCCAGCCUAAAUAAAACAAAAAUAUGAGACACCUACCUAUGCCUGACAGAUUUUUUUCCCCAAAUUCAUAUCAGUCUGGAUCCAGUUAGGAGGAAGAAACCAGUAAAUUGAAAGAAAAGUUUAAUAUGAAGAUACUAGUUAGAACAGGGAAUUUAAGUUAUAAGGGAUUGGCUAAUAAAAGGCAACAAGAACUCUAUAGAAAGCAAGGAUAGCAGAUACAUGGAGCAGCUGCUGCCUCUAGUGCUGAGAUAGAGGGCCCCCUUCCCUCAGGACUGAGACAAGACUAUACCCAGAAGACAUGGUUCUGGUUUAUUGUGUGGCAGACAAGUCCCUGGAGUGUCACACUGGUGGUGCUUGAUGGGAAUCUACUUCCGGAUUUGGCAGAAGCCACUCUGCUGGGCUCCAGAGAAAAAUGCUUCAUGGGGAGGUAUCCACUGUGGUACCUUGCUAAAACCACCCAGGUAGGAUGUUGGGGAGCUGCUGGGCAUUUCUGGCUGCAGUGUGCUACGGUCUCCAGAGGCCAGAACCACUGUGCAUACUACAGAAGCUGGAUGGUGGAGUAGUCACUCGGGGUGCAAGAGCUGGUUGCUGUUGAUCACUUACUGCAGAAAAACCUGGAAGGCUGUACAUAUCAAGAUGCCAAGAUGGUGCACACGUUUGUUUCUUUUUCUUAUUGGCAAAUAGGGUUAUGAUGAUUUCUCCUCCCUUCCAUAUUAAAUUCAGCAUUUAUUCAAUAAAAGUCAUUGCGUGUUUCUUCUGAGCUAUACUGGAUGCAUGGGAAUGGACAAAAUAGACAUUGCACUUACCUUUGCAGAGUUUGUGGUGUGGUCGAAUAGCUAUUCAGUUGAGCUUCUUCUUUGUGCUAGGUAUUGUUCUGGUCCUUGGGGAUGUAUAUCUUGGUGAUCAAGACACUCUUGCCUUCAAAAGGAAAUAGCUAUCGAGCAGAUAAUCAUAUGAAUAGCUGCAUCUUAGGGAAUCAUCUAAAGGGACAGAAAGGGAAAAUUCUGAAUUGUCAGUUCAGAGGUGAGAGAUCAGGAUGGGGCUGGAAGACCUUGCAGUGGGAAAGAGCUUGGCUCAUUUGAAGAAGUGAGACUCAGGGAAAUUUGAAAGUAGGGUGAUGAAGACAGUGUCAGGAGAAAAGGCCCCAGUAGGGGCCAACUUGCUCUCAGCCUUAGGCCACCUUGGGAACCAGGGUAGGCCAAUGAAGGUACCCCCUGUAGAGUUCUACAGUCAGAGCCCAAUGGAUUCUUUUUAGGUGUUUUUAUUACCAUCUUAUGGUGUGCUGAGUGGUCAGUUGAUUGGAGGCAAGACUGGCGAUCUUGAGACCUUGCACACAUUUGCAGGAAUCCAAGGAUGCUCAAUGAUGGAGCUUGACAUACAUGGAUUACUUGGGGAUGGGGUUUGGAAAUAGAAUCAGACUUGGGGAUGGAUUGAAUGUGGGCUAGGAGGGAGAUGGAACUGUUGAGAAUGACUUCCAGGUUUCUGGAAUGUGAAGCCAUUUUUCUCUGUACUUUUGAAACGAGUAUAACUUACUUGUUGAGUUUAAAAAGUUAAAGAAACUUGAAUUUGGAGAUGAGGAAGGCUUUGGUAACUAAACAAAAAUACAGUUACAGAGGGAGAUAGAAAGUGAAGAAAAGGUGAUGUUAUAGAUCUGCAAGUUCUUAGAGAAGCUGUAAGGUAGAAGGCUAAUGUAAGGCUGUGGGACAGAGGGUGUCAGGUUUUGUUUUAUAGAUGGGGCAGAUGUGAGCAACUUCUUUUGGGAUGGAGAAACCAUAGAGAGAAGAGAAUUAUCUGCGUUUCUUAACAGAUAAUUGAAUGUCUGUAUGCGAGGCAAUAUUCUAAGUCCUUGCAGUAUAAACCACAACACAUAGCCCCCUUUUCUGGGAGCCUAACUUGCAAAGUGGGAAGAUGACAAUAAAUAAAUAAUCUGCCAAAUGCAUUAUAAACAGAAAAAGAAAUAAAGCCUGUUAAUGGGGAGGUACAGGAGUGCUGAGGUGGGUGGACAGUGGGAUGUGAUUAUAUGCGGUGGGUGGCAUUUAUGGACUUGAUGCCACUAGAAUGUAAGAUACAACAGGGAAGGGAUUUUUGUUUUACUCACUGUUAUCUCCAGAAUUUAGAAUGGUGCCUGACACAUAGUGCUCAAUAAAUAAUUGUUGUGUAAAUCAAUUGAUUAUAUACUAUCAAGGAUGGGAUGAAAUGAGUUGUGGAAUACAGUUGUGAAUGAAGAUGUAGGGAUAUAAGUACCCAUAUUCCCAAUUCAAAUUAUAAUUAUCUUUGCUAUAAUUAUCUUUGGAUUCAGCUAUUCAGUUGUAUUUUGGAUCCUUUGGUUAUCUUUGUUUCAUGGCUUUAGUUUGGCUUGCUGUAUGUUUCUUAGGUAUAUUAAUAUAAUUUACAAACCUUACUUAUCCUUAGGCACAUUACUGAAAUGAGAAGUGACUGUUCUCAGUAAUUUAAAAAUAAAAUUUGCACUAUUAUAUUGGUUUAUAUAUUGAAGAUGUUUAAUAACCUUUCUUGCUUUCAGCAUUAUGCUGCUUUAAAGCGGUGUGUGUAUGUAUUGUGGUUGUUUUAUGCCAACUAAAGAAACCAGUUUAGCUGGGUUUAAACUGCAGUGGUUGUAUGUUAAACCAAGUCACACUCUCCUUGCUGUUCCUGUUUUGAUCAGUCAGUUUGGCUGAUCCCAUAGCGAGUCUUUUCAUCGAGUUUGCAAAGUUCAGCCUUAUGACAGUGUUCUAGUUUGUUUGAAAUCCUAUAGCAGGCCAGUCCUCUCUGCUUUAGGCAUGCAUGAAGAAGACUGUCUUCUGUGUGCCAAGUCUCAGCUCUGUGUUGGGGAUUCCAGUGCCAUACAUGACUUUGUUCUAGCUCAGGAAGCGCUGGCUUCUGGCAGCAGGGCUUGCCUUUGUCAAAAAGAAUUGACACAGGUGUUUUAAGACCAGUCAAAGCUGGAAGUUCCCUUAUGUUUCAAAGAUUUCACAUAUUAAUGAGGAAAAGGGAGCAUACAAAACAACUAUAUCCUUUUUGCCAUAGGUUGUCCUUUCUUAGAGAAAUCACUUUAUCUCUCUUGUAAAAGUGUAUAAAAUAUACUUAAUUAUAAAAGUAAUAAAUGGUCAUAGAAAAGAUUCUAACAACAUAGGAGUGUGGAGGUUAAAAAAUGGAAAAUUUUCUCUAAAAUCGUACAUUGUAGAAGAUAACAUUGUCAUCAAUUUGAUUUAUAUUUGUAUUAGUCAGUCUUUUUGUUACCAUACAGAAUACCCAAGUCUAGGAACUUUAUAAAGUGAAGAGGUGUAUUUAGCUCACAGUUUAGAAGGCUGAAAGUCUCAAGAUUGAAUGGCUCCAUUGGUUCAGCCUCUGGUGAGGGACUAAUGGCUGAUGGCUGGAGUGCAUAUGAGUGGGAGAGAUCACAUUGCCUAAUAGGAAGGCAAGGUGUGUGGACUGGACCCAGGCCCUUAGAAUAGCCCCCUUGUGACAACCAACCAGGGUCUCAUGAGAAGUACCUUAACCCCUUCUGAGGGCAUGCCCCAGUUGAUCUAAGAAGCUUCUACUGGGCCCUACCCUGUUGAAGGUUCCACAUCCCCUUCCAGUACCUCCAUCCCUGGGACUAAAGCCUCUUACACGUAUAGACUUUUGGGGCCACACUCAAACAUAUCCUUAUCCGUAUGGUAAUAUCCUUAUUUGGAUUUUAAAGAUGCAUAUGUACAUCAUGUAUGUGUGAGUAAUAUAUAUCUGCAUGUAAGUAUGUGUGAAUGCAAGUACACACACAUAGAAGAGGAAUCAUAUACACGACUUAACUGUUUUCUUCUCCUAACAAUUUAUUAUGGGCAUUUUACAUUUCAGUGAGUGUGUUUGUGUGUGUGUGUGUCUGUGUGUACGCUUGUGUGUGUGCAUGAUUGCAUAACACAGUGUUCCAUAAAGAAUUAAGUCAUCCCAUAUUUUGUUUUUAUAAGUAGUGAUGCACUUAACCUUCUGUUAACUGUUUUCGUGAGGGGGGGUGUGGGGGGCUAAUUGGGAUUGGACCUAGGGGCACUGUACCACUGAUCUACACCUCCAGCCUUUUUAAAUUUUAUUUUCAGGUAGCGUUUUACUAAGUUACUGAGUCUGUCCUUGAACUUUCCAUCCUCCUGCCUCAGUCUCCUCUGAGUAGCUGGGAUUAGAGGUGUGCACCACCUUGCCCAGCAUGUUCACAUAUUUUUGCACACUUCACUGUUAUUUUCUCAGAAGACAGAAGGGCUUGUCAAAGUGUAAACAUUUGCCAUGUAACCUUGUGAAAAGAUACCAACUUGUAUUCUCAGUUACCAAAUACGAGCGUCCCAUUUCCCCAGACCCUCACCAACACCAGGUGUUACUACCACUCUUAAAUCUUUCUCAGUCUAACAGGUGAAAACUUAUGUCUCUUUUUGAUUUGCAUUUCUUUGUAUAUUUCUGUGAUCUAGCAUGUUCUGACCAUUUGUAUUACUUUGUAUCUUUAUUCUUUUUAGUUAUAGACAGUAGAAUAUAUUUUGACAUGGAGUAUAACUUCCCAUUCUUGUGGUUGUACAUGAUGUAGAGUUACAGUGGUCAGAUAUUCAUAUUUGUGUUAAUUUUUUUGAUAUCUUUUUUGAACUGUCUUUAGUCCUUUGUUCUUUUUUUUCUUGGUAGAUUCUUUUCCCUUUUUCUGAUUUCCGAAUGUUUUUUUAAAAAAAAUAUAUGUAUAAUUUUUCUCCUGUUAGUCAUCUGUAUUUGUCUUAAUUUAUUAUUAUUUUUUAACUUGAUAUAUCCUCAUGCCAGUUCGGUGACUCAUGCACUCAACUUUGAAUCUUCUAGCAUUGGUAGCAAACUUAGGAAAGUCUUCCCCAUACCACUAACUAGAUGUUCUGUUUGCUUAUUUGUUUAGAAUUUUAUCCUCAAGAUGUUUAACAGCUAAAUAAUUUUUCAGAUAUAUGGGCAGGGUGAAGUAGAGCUCUGGGUUUUCUCCAGAACACACACUUAUUGUUGAAUUGUUGAUGUUUUAUUGCUGACUUAAAAUGCCAUCUUUAGGGCUGGGGUUGUAUGGCUUAGUGGUAGAGUAGUUGCUUAGCAUGUGUGAAAAUCUGGGUUCGAUUCUCUGCUCUGCAUAUAAAUAAAUGAAUAAAAUUUUAAAAAUUAUAGCAUCUAAAAAUAUUUUUUAAAAAAUUCCACCUUUAUCAUGCUCAGUUUUUACAGUUACAUGGUUCUUGAUAGCAGGACUCUGCUCAGCAAUCCAUUUGUUCUGUGCCUCUAUCAGUAGUACAUAUUUUUCCUUUCCUUACAUAUUAAUUUACUUAUUCCCACAUAUUGUAAAGAGAACAUUACUGCUUCUCUUCCCAUCUUAAAUAUCUUCUCAGAAAACAGGAGUGUGACUUUACAGUACACAUUCAUUUGUGUGAAUUGUCUCUGUACUAAUUUCAAUAAGUUGAGGUCAUACAAUCUUUCAGAAGUUGUGGGUUGAAGGGCUGGGGUUGUGGCUGAGCCUAGAGCGCUCACCUUGCAGGUGCGAGGCCCUGGGUUCAGUCCUCAACACCACAUUAAAUAAAUAACUAAAUAAAAUAAAGGUAUUAAAAAAUUAAAAAAAGUUGUGGGUUGAUAAAAAUGUAAAUAGAGCAACUGUCUUUGCUGUGGAAGAUGGAAUUUAAAUAAUCCUUACCUGUAUUUCUCUAGCCAUCACUUCCUAGCCUUUCUCAUAUCUUAGAAUACAUCAAGAAUAAAUAUAUUUUCAGGGCCACUGGGUAGAUGGAGGAGUGCUCUGGGUGUGGUCUGGAUGGCCUGUCCCCUCACAGGGGACCAGGGAUCAACACCUGCAACCCAUUCUUUAUGUGCUGCAGGUGAUUAGGAAGUAUUCAGGAAGUGCUGCUCUAGGCUGAUGUACUCCCACUUCAAAAUUUUUGUAGGUCUUGACAGUUUGAUAAUGAUUUAAUAUUUGGAGAGCCAGAUUUCUCUAAAAAUGUUUUUAUUGGGGGUUGGGGUUAUAGCUCAGUGGUAGAGCACUUGCCUCGCACAUGUGAGGCACUAGGUUCAAUAUUCAGCACCACAUAAAAACAAACAAACAAAGAUAUUGUGUCCAUUUAAACAUUUAAUAAAUGUUUUUAUUGUGGUGAGGUAUAUGCAAUAGAAAAUUGACGCUCUCAGUGAUUUUUUACUUGUACAGUUUAACAGUGUUUUUAAACACAUUUACAUUAUUUUGUGACCAUCACCACUGUUCAGCUGAGAAUGUUAUCUUCCCAAGCUACAGCUUUGUCCUUAUCAAACGCUAAUUCCCCACACCACUCUCUUAGCAAUUACUGUCUACUGUCCAUGUACAAAUCUGACUACUCCAGGGUCCUCAGAACGUGGAGUCACACAGCAUUCAUUCAUUCAUUUGACUGGCCUCUUUUAUCAUGGUGUCUUUAAGGUUCAUCCAUGUUGUAGCAUGUGACAGAACUUCCUUUCUUUUAAAGGCUGAAUAAUAUUCCAUUAUGUAUAGACCAUUAUGUUUAUGCAUUCAUCCAAUAAUGAACACUUGAGUUGCUUCUACCUUUGGAUAUUUUUUUUUUUUAAAUAUUUAUUUAUUUAUUUUUGUUUUCGGCGGACACAACAUCUUUGUUUGUAUGUGGUGCUGAGGAUCGAACCCGGGCCGCACACAUGCCAGGCGAGCGCACUACCUCUUGAGCCACAUCCCCAGCCCACCUUUGGAUAUUUUGAAUAACGCUACUGUGAACAUGGUUGGGCAAAUAUGAGAGCCAGACUUUGUGCAGAGCCAGACUUUCCUCAGGGCUUGAUCCUAGACUUUUCUUUCUGUGACCAUUAAAUGUGGAUAUUUCUCAGGAAUUAGACCAAGGCCCUUCUCCUCUUCCCCCUUGGUUUUCUAAAAGUGAAGCAAAGAGAUUUUGUCAGUCUCAUCUUGUACAUGAACAAUAUGACCUUAUUUUUUUUUUUAAAGAGGACAAAGCAACAAGACCAAUGAAUUACACUAUUUUUAAAGGGUUUAACCCCCCCCCCAGCUUUAUGAGAUAUAAUUGGCAAAUAAAAAUUAUGUACAUUCAAGGUUCACAGUGUAAUGGUUUGAUUUAUAUAUAUAUAUGUGUGUGUGUAUUGCAUAAUGAUGAACCAUUAACACAUGCUUCACCACUCAUGUGGCAUGUGUGGGAGGAGGCAAGACCCUUGAAACCUGCUGCUUAGCACAUUUCAAGUAAGUAGAGCAGCAUUAUUAACCAUAGUCACCAUGCUGUGUGUUGGGGCCCAGAACUUACUCAUCUUACAACUGAAAGUACAUCCCCUUUGACCAGCAUUUCCCAUUUCCUCCAGCCCCAUCCCCUGUCGACUCCCGUUCUGCUCUCUGUCUUAGGAGAGUACUUCAGCCUCCCAAGUGCUCAAGUCAUAUCCUGAGAAUCACUUUUAAAACAAACCUUCUAAUUUGGGGUACUUUUAGAGUCACUGCAAAGUUGCAAAAAUUUUGUGGACCCUAGUUGCUCUGUUAAAAUUGCUAUGGCUUGUUUGUCACCACCAGUGAACCAAUGUGGAUAUAUUAUUAUAAACUGAACUCCAGAGGAAAUUCAAAUUUCCUUUGUUUUUCCCUAAUGUCCUUUUCUUUUCCAGGAUCCCACCCAGGAUGCCAUAUUAUAUCUAGUUUUCAUAUGUUUUUAAGUUCCAUUAUACUGUCAGUUUCUCAGACUUUCCUUUUUAUUAUUGACCUUGACAGGAGAGGUAUUUUAUACGAUGUUCUUCAAUUUGGGUUUGUCUGCUCUUUCUGUCAUCAUUAGACUCGGAUUAUGGGUUUUUGGAAGGAAGACCACAUCACAUCAAGGGUUCCUGUUCUCAGUGUGACUUACUACUGGUGAUGUAAACUUUGGUCACUUGGCUGAGGUACUAUUUAUCAGGUUUCUUCACUGUAAAGUUACCAUUUUUCUCCCCAAAAGAGGUCAUUUUAGAAACUUUCCCUGUUUUAAUCUGUACUGAAUCUAAACCACUUUACACUGUAUCUUUUUCCCAAGUAAGUUUCCAUUCUGUUCACAUCACUCUGUUUAAGCGCCACUCCUGUCUAGGCAGCAGUGGCCUGUGCCCUGGCUGCUUCGAGAGUGCCCCUGGCCAUGUGUCUCCUCUACUCUGGCCUCCUCCCACUUUGGUCUGUACCCAGAAUGGUCUUUCAGAAAUGCUCUUUUCUCAAACUUGUGAAUAACUCCUAUUGUGCUUCAGAUGCCAUUCCUGCUCCUCAACAGUCAGGGCCUGUGUGACGUAGUCUGUCUCCUCUCUAGCUUCUGGCAAAGUACCUCUCACUUUGUUUACUGUCCCAGACGCUGGUUUCCCACCCUGAAUUACUUCAGCACUCUCUGCAACACAGUGUGGUCCUUCCUGCUUAGAUUGAUGGGCACCCACCACCUGUGUUCCUCUAGUCUCAGCCUGACUGCUACUUACUCUUUCUCCAUAAGCCAGCCCUAGGGUGGAGUUGCCGGCCUGCCUUGCUGUGUGUUUCUGUACUUCUUCCCUGUACCUGUCGUGUUUUGAAUCAACUUCCAUGCUAAGGUAGACCAGUGGAGACUUUCUCUGUUCUUUGCUGUGUAUCCAUCCCUGUUACCCGAUAACUGAGCUUGCUGUGGAGUAGGUGCUUAAUAAAUAUUUUUAAAUGGGUUAAUUUUGUCUUUUGAAUGGAAUACAAAUACUCUUUGAUAUUAGCAUGCAAGUAUGCAGACAAGUUCUCAAAUAGAUGUCUCUUAGUCAAUUGAUUUAAUACCCUGGGUGUUCUUUUAAAUGCCUUGUGCAGGGUGCAUCGAUAGGUACAGUAAGGAAUGGAGUGGUGUGUGUUCAGCCUGUGCUACUCUUAAGUAACCGUCUGUUUAUUCGGUCAUUCUCUACUUCAGCACUCACGAAUCAGACUCUAUAGUACCCUUUGCAGAUUGUGGGACCUGAGUGUGUGAGCCUUUGGGGCCUGGGGGAGAACCUGCAGGCCAACCCCUCACUGUUCCAUUAGUGGAAUAAGACCAAUCUGAACAGAUCCAGUUUGAAUUCAGCUCUGUCAGUUUUAAGACUUACAGUACAGUCUUGAGCUUGUCUGCAAAAAAAAAAAAGAGACAGGAAUAUCUUCCUUGUAACCUGUGGAAGGACUCAGAUAAGAAAAGGAAUGUUUGAUGAUCAGCAUCACAGAGCUAAUGUCCUUGCUUUUAGCUAAGCACCCUGCCAAACAGUCCAUAUUAAUACUUUUUGUUAAAUCUCACAGCAGCCCUAUAGAUAGGGAUGUUAUUAUUUUCAUGUUCUAAAUGAAGAAAAAGACUUAUUUGGAAAACCCAAUAAUUUGUCCAAGAUCAUGAAAGGAAUAAAAGGUAGAGCUAUUGCUGUGUAUGAUUUUUAAAGCCCAGAAUGGACUCCUUAUAUCCUCCAGCCAUGCCAUCUUUAAGUGUAGCUUUGCUAGUUGGGGUUUUGAAGACUUUUCAGUCUUCUAUUGGCAUUUGAAGUCUUUAAGUCUUAGGAGGGAGAACCUUGUUACAGCUUGAAUUUUAAUUCACAUUGUAGCAACUUUGAUAUCUGUAACUGGUUGCCUGACAUUGUAUGUUUGUGGGUCCUGGAGGACUGGGUUGGACCUACCUCGGCAGUAUUUCUAAAAUGAGGGUUGUGACUCCUGGUCAGAUUUACCUGGGGGGAUUUACAGAAAUGUAAUUUCCUUGGGUGCUUCUUUGAUGUCCUAAAUUGUAAUCUCCUCCUGGGAGGAUAUGGGAAACUACAAGUGACACUAUCUAGAUAGGCGAUUCUUAUUUAGUCUGAAGCAUGAGAAUCAGUGACUAGAAGAAAUGAGAAAUGUCAGAGGAUUCUUUCAUUGUCUCAAGUUACAGGAAGACAAGAAGCAGCUCAGGUGCAGUAGCUCCAUGGGUUUCCCUGUGCAUCUCUUGGCAUUCUCUGCAUGGGCAGCCACAGCAUAGUGAUGCGGUUCUAACUGUGCAGGGGGAAGGCACAUCCCUGGCAUGAGCUCCUGUCUGCUGUUCUUAUUCUUACACAACUUUAUUGAGGAGCAGUUGGCAUACAAUAAGUUACACAUUCUUUUUUUAAAAUGAAGUUUUUAUUUUUGAUUGACAGAGUAACUGCAGUGUGAUAGGGUAUAGUGUGAUGUUUCAGUUCACAUGUAUGAUGUGUAAUGAUCAGGUCGGGGUUUUUGACAUAUCCAUUAACUCAUUCACUCAUUCAUUCAUUCAUUCAUUCAUUCAUUCAUUCAUUGUGUUUUGUGUUGGGAAUAUCCCAAAUCCUCUUCAUUAGCUAUUUGGAAACGUACAGUUGUCAUAACCGUAGUUAUCCUAUGGUGUUAUAGAACAUUAUAGAAUACUAGAAGUUAUUCCUUUUAUCCACCUGCCUUCUGCACCUGUUAACCAGCCCUCCUCUUCAUAUCCUUCGAAGGCUCUAGUAAUCAGUAUUCUACAUCUGCUUUUUUAUGAUGUCAGCUUUUUAGCUUCUAUAAAAGUGAGAACAUGUUUUAUUUGUCUUUCUAUUAAACUGCACAUUCCUGCGUCUGCCUUAUAAGGUAGACACUGCAUGAGGUCCCCACACCAUGAUGGUGAGCACAUGCAUCAGUCAGAAGUGUCAAUCAGAAGAAAUGGAAGCAUUUCUGUCUUGCAGGCCCUUCUUCCCACUCUCUUUAUUCUUUGUGAAAUCUUUGAAACUGCUAUGGGGAAAAAGUUUCCUUGUUGAGGGUAAAAUGGUAGGUAGGAACGUAUUGUGGUUUCAGUUUUUGUUUUCUUUUUGAGGAAUAUAGUGGAAAUAAUAUGAUGAUUACAGGUGUAGGUUACCAUAUCAUUUAUAGAAAGUUUUGAGAAACCGACAAGUAUUCUAGACCAUUUCUGAAAAGUUUGACAGGAAAUGUACUUUUUGGAGGGUUGAGAAAGUGGCGGAGAUGUGACUGUUGGUGGCAGGGGAGAGGAGUGACUGGUGGGUGCCAUGUGGAUGGGGGUUGCACAUGAGAACCAAAGGCUGGUUUUCUUUGGGUUUUCAUUGUAUGGCAUUUAUUCUACAUGGGAAAAACUAACAUAAAUCACAACAUGAUAUGGAAUAGAAAUAUAAUCCUCACUUAACUGGAGAAUAUAUUUAGCUCAAGUGCAUUUUACAUUUUAUUGAAUGGCAUGAUUUAUUUAUGAUAUUUAUAGAUUAAAAAUAAAAUUUGCCCCAUCACUAUAACUGGCUUUGGGUUGGGUGUUUCUUUAGUUGCUGAAUACUCUUGCUGAAGUUAAGGUGUCUUUUUUUUUUGGGGGGGGGGGGUAAGUACCAGGGAUUGAACCCAGGCGCACUUAACUGAGCCAUAUCUCCAGCCCUUUGUAUAUUUUCUUUAGAGACAUGGUCAUGCUAAGUUGCUGAGGCUGGUUUUGAAUUUGAGCUCCUCCUGCCUCAGCCUCCCGAGCUGCUGGGAUUACAGGUGUGCAUUGCUGUGUCCAGUACCGAAGUUAGUUUCUACUGCAGAAAGCAUUAUAUAAUGUCAUUGAGUUAAUAGCUGUUUUUUUUUUUUUUUAAAGAAUUGGUAAAAUGUGUGGGAUUCAACUGUCACCUAGUUUCUUUUACUCUUUGAAUUUCUUUACUAUAUUUUUAUUUAUUUCCAGUUUUUCCAUGUAUUUAUUUUGAAGGAAUAUGCUUGAGGUAAAAAUGGGAGCAUUUCUGUCAUAAUUUAACCUUCUUAGGAAUAUCAUUUUUGCUCUGUGUCUGAGAGUUGAAACAAUUCUUCGUACUUUAUAGAUGACAUUCCCUCCUCACCUCUACGGCUAAAUCAGUCAGUCAGUCAAUCAAAACCAAAAUGUAAUGGAGAGUACACAUCUCAGUUCCAGGUGGCGCUCAUUGUGGGUGAGAAUUCCCUGGAGAAAGACCCUUUGCUGGAGCACUAGUGACUUGAUGUUCCAUCAGAAGGGGCUCGGUGUGUUUCUUCUUUUAGGCUGGUAGCUCAUGAGUGUGGUGGCACAGAGUCAUUUCCAGGUUUAGACUAGCAUGUAUACUGUGCUUACACCCAUAGGUUUUGGGGAUUAGGUUGGGGCUUUUGAGUCCUUUCUCUCUUUAAUUCAGUUACUAGUUACAGAAAGAGACUAGCUAUAAUUGUAACAAGUCUACCCAAGGUUGACUAUCCUUCUGUACCUCUCCUUAUGAAAAUAUCCUGCAGGUUGACUGUUUGGGGGUUUGCUUUGGAUUAAUGAUCACCUUUCAGUCUGUUAGUAUUAAUUCAGUUCAUUCAGUCAUUAACUGGCCGUGGCCAUAGGAAAUGGGACGCUGCUGGAUAGGGAAGAUGGGUCAUUCUAGUUCAUGAGCCACUGCUGUCUGGGGCCUGGGAAGGAGGCUGGAAGGAGGUUCCACAGAGAGAAUACCUUGAAUCCAAUUUAGGACCAGGGCUAACCUCUUGGGCUGUGUUGGGGGAAGCUACUUAGGUCCAGUCACCUUUAAGAAUUCAGAGCAGAACUGUCAAUUUAACAGUGUCCAGGGCUAAUAGGCAGGUGUCAACCAUAAUAGCUGCUUACUGCAUUGUUCCUGUGGGAAAAAUAUAUGUGAGUUUCCCAUACCUCCUUUGUAAGUGGACUGGCUCUGAGAAUUGGCUCUUCUUGCUAUUGUGGGGGAGGGCAGGAUGUGGCAGUUAGCUACUGGCUGGGGUUGUGUUGCCCCUGAGAGUUUCCAGCCGCUUUUUGCUUGCUUACUUGUAUUGUAGGGUCCUUGUGAGGACCACGGUGAACUGCUUACUGCCCUUACCUUCCCUUACCCAAUCACAAACUCAUUUGGAAAACAUUCCUAAGAUCCUUCAUUGAUGUUUUGUUUUUAAAUCAGCUAAAACAUUUUUAAUUUUGGCACAAUUUCCUUCAAAGGUAGUUUGUCAGAACUGCUAAAUAUUUAGGUGGAAAGAUGGACUCAGUUCCAUGGAAUCAUUUGUGGGAAUUCUGUUGGUUGUAAUAUUCAGGUGCCGAGGAACAAUUCCUGACUACCUGGAGGUGGGGGCAUCCUCUGGCAGUUGGUGUCUGGCACUUCUGGCAGGGAUUAACUGGUAGAAAGUUUAGGGCACCAUUUUUUUUUUUUGGGUGAGUUAGUGAAUUCUAAUCAUAACUUAGAACACUUUUUAAAGUCAUCCAUAAAUACUUCAUUGUCUUUAUUGUCAAGAGAUUAUUUUAAAAAUACAGAUUUUGGAAAUGAAUAUUGCCCAUGGAGCUCUUUGUUCUGACUAGGCUUGUUGCUUUUCCUUACUAAUAGAUAUUAGGAAAACAAAACUUGACUGGCUUCUUGCCUUUUGUUAGAAACAUGCUGAAAUGGUCUAAAUAAUGAUGCUACUAAAACAAUGUAUGCAUUGUUUUGAUGGGUAUUGAUUCCUUCUGUAGUGUUCAGAAUUGCUUGCAUGCCUCCCAGCAACAAAUGCAUAUGUGACUGUGUGAGAGGAGCAUUCCAGAAAAAUGGAAUGCUGCUUUACUUUUCAGUAGCUGUGCAACUUAAAGGGAAAAAGUCAUGUUUUUAGAAAUGCGGCCUUAAGGCACUAACCCACUUAUAUCCAGUGCAUGAAGCUCUGCAAGUUAUUUUAACACAACCUGAUCAGAGGGAACAAAAAUCUGGCAUUUAUAGUUUGUUUGUUUAUUGAUUGCCAUAAGUCAUUAGAAAGAAUAUCCUGUUCCUUUUAAUAAAAUCCUCUUGGACAGUUAAGUGUUAUAUUGUGGGGCAGAGCUGACCUGGGAGAAUGUAGGUAGAAAUGGCAAAUGGGGAUUUAUGAAAGAAUUGUAACCAAGUUAAGGUCCUUUUGCUAGUUGUGCUUCACCUGCUCUCCUGUGUGGCAGGAUGUAAUGUGUGUUGCUUCUUAGAACUUGCUGUCCAGUACACAGAAGUUUGGAUUCUGAAAUCAGGGAAUGUAGCCUCUCAAGCUUAGUUUUCAGAGAUGAAAUGCUGAAGAUGAUCUUAGUAGUAGGCUCAACUGUUCGUGUUAUUUACUAGUGAAAUGAAUAUUGAAAUUGUUUACUGUAACAGUUAAUUGUUACACUGUUAACAGUUAACUUACUGUUGCUGAAAGUUAAGCAAAUGUGUUGUGACUUAGGUGUUAGCUACAUUUUCAAAACAAAAUUUAGCUCUUUUCUUUUUAAAAACAUAAAUUAGUUUGUUAAUGGGGAAAGAGUAACAUUUGUUGAAAAAUUAAGUCACUUGCUUUUUUCCCUUUGUAGAUCUUCGUGUCAAGCCUGUAUUAACUCCUUGUAAUUCCAGUAGGACUAGCAAGUUAUUUUGCUUAAAAUGUCUUUUUUCCCCCCUGUGCAGUGAAAGUCGAAUGUGAGAACAGAUCUUAAUAGAUAUAGUUACACAGUUUAUUUUAUCAUGUAUCACUUUAUUGCUAUCUUCUAGAACAUUGUUAUACUAAAUGUUCCAAUAAUGGAAAUUUUAUGCAGCUACUUCAAAUGAAAGAAAUUUGCAAAAACUCAAUUUUGGAACUCAUUCCUUGAGGAGAGGGAAAAAACUCACCAUGCUGUGACCAAAUUAGAUUUCUGAUAUGUUGGCAACUUAUCAAACACUGUCAUUUCCAGAAAACAGGGUGUGGGUUCCCACUGAAAUAUCACUAUUUCCCAAUCAAUGUCAAUUUGAGAUAUUUUGAGUUUUAAUAUGAUUGAAUGGCCAAAUGUUUACAAAGUUGUUGUUGGUAACAGGUAAUUAAAAAUUGGUUUUGUACCUAAAUGAAAAUGGCUUUAUGUGGAAUCAGGAAUGACCAUGUUCAAUUACCAGGGAGUCGUCUUUUCAAGAGCUUGAUUUAAAAUUCUCAGAGAUAUUAGUUGUACUUACUGGAGCUCCUUUGUUUUGCAGAGAUCAUGAUGCAGCCGUCCUUUUGGAUUUCUUUUUAAUAAUGUGUGACCCUUCACCUUUGAUCCCCUGACCUGCAUUACCUUGGUAACCAUUUCAUUUUUUAAUUUAAUUUCAUUUUUAAUUUUGGUGUACAAGCUGUAACAUUUCAUCUCUCAAAGUGUAGCACGCUGAUUUCCUCAGAUAGAGAUACCCCUUUGAGCGAUAAAUUUGCAAAAUGCUGUCUUCAUUUUUUGUAUUAAAAUUCAUUUCAGUUUUAUAAAAUAAAAUGUAAUCUGUGUUUUCAUCCUUUUAAAAUUUAAGUUUAGUGAGUGCAUUCCCCCAUACAGGAUAGUUCCUCUUCUACCAGUGUUUUGCGGAAGCUGAAUUAAGUGACAUUCAUAUGUAAUGCACACCCCCCUUACCCCCACUCCACUGCCACUCCCUGUCAUUCCCCUGCUGUCACCACACAGCCCUGCCAUUGCAGGAUGAUGACUUGUCUUCCCUUCAGAAUAGUAGCAACUUGAAUUUUAGUCUUAGCAGCCAGGUUCUGCACCCUCAGGUUAUAUUUUGUAUUCUCAAAUAUUGUGGGGAGGGAAAGCUUAGAGUUUUAUUUUUAAUUUCAUUUAAGGGCUGGAAGAAUGUAAGCUAUUUUCAUUACCAGUGUUUGCCUUUCCCACCUCCUUUAAUGUUUUAUUUCUUUGAGACCUAAAUUAAGGAAAAGUCACAGUUUUAAUUUGACCAAAAAAUGUGGUUUUGUCUAUGCUGAAAUUUUAUCAGUGAGCUCUGCUGGUCCCUAUAUCAGAUUGAUUUUUGCCAUUUGUUCUUAUUUCAUGUUUGCUUUUCAAAUAAUGUAUUUUUAUUGUACUCUUCUUCUUUUCAGAAAAUUCUUAAAAGCAAAACAAACCAAAACCAAAAGUCAAACUUGAGUUAAUUCUUUGAACUGGCAAAAUACUCCAAGAAAUUGUAUUCUUAAAAAAAAAAAAAAAGCUGCGGACUCUCUUGCAUGGCCCAGUGAAGCACAGAUGAUUUUUUAAGUGUCUCAUUAUUUUAUUCUCUAACAUUUAAUGCUGAUGUUUUAAUUGCACACAGCUGAAGCUGCUAAAUGAGUACUGAAAUAGAUUUAAGUCCUCUCUGAGCUUUGUUGAUACCUAUAAAAGUUUAUAUCAUUCAUUAGAACCACAAAUUAAAAUUAGUUGUGGUGAGCUGUUCAUUGGAGAUUGGAACUCUCACGAACAUUUUAGCUCACAGACUUUGUUUUUGCCUGUUACACCUAUUUACCUGGAAAGCUGCUUUCGCCCUGUUGGGUAUCCUUUCUUUUCACAGAAUUGGAAAAAUAUCAGAGUUGAGGAAUACAAAUAGACAACUCAUCCUAUGAUUGUAAAGCCCCCAUGAUUAUAAGUGUUCCAGUGGUUGAGAGCAGCUUCCUUGCUGAACCUUGAAUUUUAAGGUGAUUUUUUUAUUAUAAUGUGUUCCACUGUUGUGCAGAGAAAUUUUCCAGAUCCAGAAACUUUUUUUUUUUGGCCUUAGGUACGUUGUUUAUUUGUUCUUUUGUUUAUUUGUUCUUCUAGCACCAAAGGGAUGGUGCCUGAAUCACAGUUCAUAGACUCACAGGGCUUUAGGGGACAGUGACUGCUUGUCAGCUCCACUCCUCUUCCUGAGGGAUGAGCUGGCCCAUGGUUCCCUGGGGAGUCACAAGUUCUCUGAUGACAGAGUCAGCUCUCUCUGUGGGCCCCCAUCUACUUGAGAGAGCCAGAUAACUUUAUUUAUAGCCUGUAGUAGGAGAUGAAGAGACAUUAAUAGGUGCAGAAAUAAUUUCUAUUGUCAUGUUUUAUUUUGUGAUUAAAUCAGUUAAAAAUUUUAAGGUUUUCUGAUUAAUACAUUUUAAGAGAACCUAAUUUUUCUAAGAGAGCUAGUACACAAAUACACUUAUUAUUUUCAAUGAACAUUAGUUAUAUGGUUAGUAUUUAGGACUUCUGGUAAGUUGUGAGGCACAUGAAUACUGUUUUUGUAAUCAUGAUUCACUGAGAAAACCCUUGUCUGAGAGUCAGAAAACUUGCUUUGGACUAGCAUCAAGGUCUUUGGACAUGUUACUGGUGUCUUUUGAGGUAGUUACCCCCAAACUAAAAUAUUCGAAGACAAAGAACUUGACACUUUAAUUUGGGAAUGAAUACUGUGAAAUCAGUUGUCUUGAUUGACCACAUAGGAGCUUGUAAAACAUUUCGUUGAUGCUGCUUCCAUUUUAUGUGUAUGUGAAAUGUAGACUGUGUGUCUCCUACUUGCCUUUUAGGGUUGUUGGGAGGAUAAAUGAAACACACACUGGGAACUCAGAAGAAAGGUGCUUUUGAAACUGAACCUCAUCCUAUGGCUGUGCCAAGAGGCAGUGGUAGUGAACCCCGUGGUGAAGGGCCAGGACCAUGGCUCUGGAGCCAGGCUGCCGUGGUUUGAAUCCCACCUUGGCCUCUUGCAAGCGGUCUGACUGCAGCACAUUACCUAACCUCCCUGUGCCUGAGUUUCCUCCUCUUUAACUUGAGGAUGAUAAUAGUAGCACCUACUCAAAGGAUCCUGGUGAGUUUUAGCUGAGCUGAUGUGUGCGGAAUCCUUAGAGCUGCGCUGGCGUGUAGCGAGCGAGGCCACACCUGCACACCAUGGGCAGGACAUAUACCUUGCACAAAAUGACAUUGCAGCCCCCCCAUCCCCCUGCCCACCAUUAGUCUUCUAACAUUGAUUUAGAAACCAUUGAAUGCUUAGAGAGGGGUACUGCAUAGUUGGUGAUAUUUAAGCACCUCUAGAUAGAAGUUCAGUGGGUAAAGUUAAAUUUGGCUUCCUAACCUUUUUGUAAAAAAAUUCAGCUCACUAGGAUCUGCCUGACACUCUGACUGUUCUUUUGUUUUAGCUGUUUUGGGUUAUGGAGGCAUAAGGGGAGAGGUGUGAGGGAGGGAGCUGCCUUUUGCCUAGUUAGCUUUCGUACCUCCACUCUGCUAAGUUGUCUAGCUGGCUUUCAAGGAGUUAGAGGGUUGAACUGUUGAGGGGCUUUUACUUGACCGUAUGAGGCUUUGGACUCCUCUUAAGUAGAUCGAAGGAUGGGACCCACAGUUGUCCCUGCAUGAGAGAGAAUAUAUGUUGCAUUGUUCCCAGUGCUUUCCAUACAUUUUAAUCAUCCAGAUUUAUCCAGGAGGUGAAUGGUGUGUUAACCCAGUUUUGCAUCUGAAAAUGCUGAGGUUUAGGUAGGGUAAAUACACUUUCCUAGGUGCACAUCCCUAGUAGACUGCACAGUUGCAGAACUGGCAUUUAAAUCCAGGUGCUGCUUACCUCCUGAUACUUGCUGCCUUGCAUUCACCUGCAAACCUGGUAGAACCUCUUAACAAGAGACUGUUCUGCUGUUUUCGUUGCAAGGACCUGAACUGCAUAUAUUAGUGUCCCUCAGCCAUUGGACCUUUUAAAUGAACAGCACCUCUAACUUAGUAAGAACUCAUAUGAUGGAGUAGCUGGCUCUAACAAUCUAUUACCACCAUUAUCAGGAAAGUUCCAUUAUAUAUGUGGCACUUGAUCCUGGUUGCACAUCUGGAAUCACUCGUGUAGUGUUUUGUUUAAAAUUUGAAGCACUAGUCCCAUCCGUGACUGAUUGUGGUCUAGCAGAGAACCAUUGAUCAACAGGUUCAGAUAUAUAGAAAGGUUUUUUUUUUUUUUUUGCCUAGUUACAUACAAACAAAAAUUGAUUUUCUGUACACGCACAGAUUUGUGCUUCUAGAAUAUGGACCAGUGCAAUUAGUUCUAUAGUUGGCUACAUUGUAGAUUAAAAUGGAUCUCUAGUUUAAUCAUUUAACCAACACUGAUCAGUACCCUUCCUGAAGGCAAGGUCCCAGCAUCUAUUCCCUAAAUGCAGUCGUGUGUGAGAACCCCGAACGUCCUGAGAGGUGGGCUCUCACUUAGUUACAGGGUGAACCAAGUAGAGGGCCCUGUUUGCUUUCUUCUCCCUUUCACCUGUCUUCUUUCUCUUUUAUGCAUCCAUUUUUCCUUUCUCUUCUCCUUCCCUUCUCCAUAGUUCUGUCCUCCCUCUUUUUCUCUUUCUUACAUUUAUCUGAUUUUGACAGUGUGACAAUCAUCAAGCUGUAAAGUACUUGAACUACUUCAUGUGCACAGCACAUAGUAGGUGUUCAAAUGAACUUUUUCUUAUUUUUCUUAGCAUCUGAUUUUCAAAGGAGUAGGCACUACCCCUCAUUAAGCCUGAACUUUGUUAGAUUUUGUUUGUGAUUGUCUAUCCUAACUUGGUUUAUCUUGUGAAUUUAGAUAGUUUAGUCUCACUGGUUCUGAUAAGUUGAGGAACUCCAGGGUUUAGUCACUGAGUAGUACAGAAGCUUAGGGAAUAGAACAGACUUAGAUUGUUUUAGAGGCUGCUUUUAUCAGGCUUCUAAUGUAUUUGCUUCUAGUAUAUUUUUAAGCCAGAGGAUCUGUGUUUGCCUCGUCAGACCCCCUUUGUUUGGUGAUGAGGAAGCUGCCAUGGAGAGGGAAAGGCCGUUGGACUUGCUGCUGCUACCUCCUCUGGUAGCAUUGUGUGUUGGGACAGAGAGCAGAGCAAACAAUAUGACAGCCUAGAGGUCUGCAGCUGACUGUUUGCCUCCAGAAAUGUUGGAGAAGUAGUCACAGUAAUCCUCCUUCUGCUUCCCCCUUUCACAGGAGAGGUGACCUAAGGGUGGGGCGAUUCUGAGGGGAGUGGCAGGCCUCCCCAGCGUGGAAGUCGGGAGGCUGUGUGUGCGGCCCUGCACCCCAGCAGGUUGGCCCAGGCGCCAGCUGGCUGCCUUAGGAGUUCCUUCUGAUGGCCUUUAGCCCUUCGAGGCUUUUCGGAGGCUGAGAAACGCGCGGUAAAGGUAUGGAAAGGUGUUUUUGUCAUUCUUCAGUGAAAAUCUGCCCUAACCAGAAAGGGAGUUUCUGCCUAGGCAGGAAACCAUUGAAAAAGCUCGUUUGUGUUAGUUGUGGUUAUUGUUUCCCCUGGAAACUGUGGCCGUGGUUACUGUGGUACUGUGUGACAAUCUGAGUGUUUAGACUAGAUUUCCUGUUUUCCACACACAUUUAUAAGUGGGUUCAGAAAUGUGCCUGUGAUGAACAUCACACAUACCUACUACAAAACUUGGAUGGUCAGCUUGGUGUGGUUUUGUGCACCUCUAAGCCCAGUGGCUCAGAAGGCUGAGGCAGGAAGAUUGCAAGUUUAAAGUCAGCCUCAGCAACUUAGGGAGACCCUGAGCACCUAAGUGAGUCCCUUUCUUAAAAUGUAAAGAGGGCUAGGGAUGUGGUGCUGUGUUUAAAUGCCCUGGGUUCAGUCCCCUGUACCCAAAACAAAAACAAACAAACAAAACACAACGGGUUUGACCUCCAGUCCUUUUUUCUCUUUGGUGCUGAUCCUUUUUCUUAUUUCUGCAUUUUUCCAAAGGAGAAACUAUAUGAUCUAACUUUUUGUGAUGGUGAGAGGAGGAUUGGUCUGGAGCGUUGAAGCUCUUGGUCAAGGUGUGGCUCUGGGUUUCCUUUUACCAGCUCUAGUUCACCUUACAUGCCUGGCACAAGUUCUUGUACAUAAUAGACACUCAGCAAACAUUAACUCUCUUUUCAUUUCUCAUUAGCACAGGUAAUUAAGAAUAGGAGCUGAUAGACUCCACAUAUCUGUGCAGAGAUAUAUCUGUAAUUAAAGUUUUAAUUAAAGAGACACCAGACCAGGCAGAUGGUUCUUAUCCUCAUAUCCUGUAAACCAAACAGCCGUGGCUUUUCGAUCUUGCAAACAAGCAAAGCUGAGAAGCUGCUUUCAUGGUGGGGCAUGGUAGUUUUAUUAACUAGCCAUGAUCUAUUUUGGUACUACUCUGUGUGAUGCCUGAUCCAGGGAUAAUCAUUGUAGUUUGAUAUGGAAAGACAAUACAUCAAAGUUAUGUCCCAACUGAAGCUUUCAAGCGUCAUCAAGGGCAUUGCCACAGCCCAGCUGGUGCAUCACAAGGCAUGUGGUUUUGUGCUAGAUCACAAAAGCUGACAAAGUAUUAUUUAGGAUCAUCCGCUAAAUACAGUAUUAAAUUAAAGCACCAUAAUCCUGAUUUUUCAGGUUUUGCCACUGUAUAGCAAUGCAGAAUUGAGUUGUGCCUGUUUGCCUCAUGCUGGUUCUCUUCUAUGUCACAGUGACCUUAUUGGCUAAUCAGGCGCAGAAUUUAAGAAAUAAAACAACUGCAGGGGCUAACUAACAGAAAAGGACUUAUCUCAGAUCUUAUCACUUUUUAGGCCCUUCCAGUGAACCCCAGCCAUUUAUUCUAUUGCAUCCCUGUUGGCAGGAGCCAGAGCAGUGCAGGGAAGUGGGCAGCUCACCUUGACCUCUUGGAUUUUACCCUCUUCUUUACCCGAAGUUUCAUAACCUUUCCUUGUAAUUUUUAAUGCAGCUAGCUGCAUGGUUUUCAGGCCUUCCAUGCAAGAGGCAGUUCUAUAACAGAAUUGCAUGCUGGUUGAUGUAGGUGUGUUUCUACCACCAGCAUCCCAGUUUAUUUUGUUAGGUAGAACCAGUACUGAAGAUGUUGAUUUCUUAUUGCACAAUGGAACAGUUUAGUGUAGAGAUUAGGAGCAUGGUUUCUGCUUUGCUGAACAGUGCUGCUUUCAUAGGAGGUGCAGUUUUUGUGUGAUAGAGUCCACAGUACACUGGGAAGUACACUGGAACUUUCACAUCACAGACCAGUCAUCAAGUGAUAGAACCUAGAAGUGUUUUAACUUACCUUAAUACCAUCUAUAAAUCAAGGUCCAUCUGUCCUAGCUGAAAUGUGUGUGCAUAGGCACAAGGAGAUGGGCCAGAACCAUGAGAUGUGCAUGUGCUUUGAGUGGAGCCUGUGUCUCAUGGGUAGCUGGAAAUGUGUCUACCACCUUCUGUCUCAGGGAAGGAUGUUUUUUGGUUUUAAAAGAGGUCAGUUCAUUGUAAGCUGCUUUGAUUAAAUAGUCUUUUGUUAUUGUAUCCAGAAAAUACCAUAGGAUCUAUGCAGAAAUGUAUUACUGAGUAUUAAGUUGGUAUUUUACAUAUGGAAUUUGAACCUGACCAAUUACAAAGUUUGUUUCUUUUCUAAUGUGGUUCAAGACCUGAACAUGUAACUUUGGAGUAGACAACACAAUUUUAGAUUGUAGGAGGUUUCCUAUGAAGUUAAACUCUUGCUGCAUAGAGAGCAGUAGUUAUGCCGCUUUGCUGUGUAGGAAUCAGACUUCCACAAAGAGGAGAAGCACCAACAAACCCACCUUACUUUUCUUUCUGUAGUGGGUUUAGAAAAAAUGUGCACCCCCACCCCAUGCUGGGGAUUGAACCCAGGCCUUUACCAUGUUGGGCAAAUACUGUGCUACAGAGCUACAUCCAUAGCCCUGGAAAAUCUGUAUUUUACCACAUAAUCGUCACCACUGCAUUAAUGCAGAUUCACUAAUACUCCAUGCAUAUCCUAAUCUUGAACCAGUGACAGUUUAGUAAUAAACGCAUUUUAAGUAAUACUGGCACAGUAUUUUUUUUUCUCUUUUAAAGCUUUAAAUAAUGGUCACGCUCAACUUUUUGCCAAAAAAGAAAAAGAAAUAAAAGGCAUAAAAUCUGCAAUGAUUAUGUGAUGAAAUGCAUAUAUUUUUGCCCUUUCUAGUUGUGUGAUGAUGGGAGUAGAGUGUUCUGCCCACUCCAGAGUGACUUACCACCAAAUAUUUCUUUCUUUCUUUUUUUUUUUUUAAUGGCGGUACUGGGGAUUGAACUCAGGGCCUCACACAGCUAGGCAAGUGCUCUGCCACUGAGAUAUGUCCCAAGCCCUUUUUCAUUUUUUUAAAAAUUUUUAAUUUUAAAUGUUGUUUUAUUAAUACAUUCGAGUUAUUCAUAAUAGUGGGGUUCAUUUUGACGUAUUCACACAUGCAUAUAACAUAAUUUGCUCCAUUUCAAUCCCUAGUAUUUUCCCCUAACCCUCGUCUCCUCCUUCCCCUUGAUUUCCUUCCUCUACUCUGUUGGUCUUUCUUCCAUUAAUUUAUUGUUUUUUUUUAAUUGGUGCAUUAUAGAUAUACAUAAAAGUAGAGUGGAAUUUUUGUGAUGUAUUUAUAAUGCACAUAACAUAUUUGAUCUUUUUUUUUUUUGCUGUUCCUCUCCUUUCCCAUCCCUACUUUUGCCCCUUUAUUCCCCUUUCUUUACUGUUCUGUUUUUAUAUCGCCCACUUCCCCACCCCCCUCUUGUUUUUAAAUUUCUCAUUUCUCCCUAAUUUCUGCAUAUGAGAAAACAUUGAAUCUUGAUUUUUUGAGUCUGUCUUAUUUCACGUAGCAUAAUGUUCUCCAGUUCCAUCCAUUUGUAAGUAAAUGACAUAAUUUCGUUCUUCUUUAUGGCUGAGUAACAUUCCAUUGCGCAUAUACACUACAUUUAAAAUUGUUGAUGGACCUUUAUUUUAUCUAUUUAUUUAUAUAUGGUGCUCAGAAUUGAACCCAGUCCCUCACACAUGCUAGGCAAGUGGUCUACCACUGAGCCACAACCCCAGACCCCUAUACGUCACAUUUUCUUGAUCCAUUUAUCUGUUGUUAGGCACCUGGACUGGGUUCAUUACUUGCUUAAUUUGGAUCAUGGUGCUAAAGACAACACCCAGCCCUUUAAAAAAUUUUUUUUUUAAAAACAGUUUCAAUGAGUUGCCUAUGCUGGCCUCUUAACUGGCCAUCAUCCUGUCUCGGAUUACAGGCAUGUCCAGCCACACCCAGCUUAUUUAUUUGUUCUUUAAAUAGUUAUUGAAUUCCUGGUAAAGGGCAGCAGUAAGCAAAAUUAUGCCAUUCCCCUCGAAAAGUUUAUUUUCUGGUUAGGGGAAAGGGCAAUAAACAAAAAAAGAGUAACAGUAAUUGAGAAUUUGUAUGAACCAGUCAUGUUGGUUAACUCUGUGUCCUCCUCAGAGCACUCUGUGCAGGUGAGUGCUGUUCUGCCCCUUUUGCAGCCUAGGGAGACACUACAGAGAUGUGGACUGGCCUCUGCCCCACCCAGUGGGCUCUGUGCUUUCACAUUCCAGGCUGCUUGACUCUCUAUUAAUAAACACUGCCUGAUCUGCUAAUUUCUAAAUAAUAAACACAUAUUAUUGUUAAUGAAUGUGAUGAAGAGCACACUCAUUAUCAAUAAUAUGUGUUUAUUGAUAAUAAUAAUAAUAAUAUCAAUAAAAGCCGCAAGGGAAGCCAUUUGGAGGGCUCCUGGAUGCCUGGGUGUAAGUGUUCGUUAGCAUCAUGACUUAAGUGGAUUCCCUCAUAAUGGGGGGUGAAGGAAGGUCACAUCAUGAGCCACAUAGCUAUCCAUCCAGAGGGAGGGUAUUCCAAGUCAAGGGAACAGAAAAAGCAAAGGCCCCAAGGUUGAUGUAGCUUUGUCAAAGGUGGAAGAGAAGCCAGGAAGCCAGGUGGGAACUGUCCCUGUCUCUAGGAGGGUGGGGAGGGGAGCAGCCAGGAGCAGCAUCCCUGGGGGCCUUGCAGGUCAGGGUAAGGCCUUUGAUUUUACUGAAGAGAGGGGAAAUGGUCCAAGAAUUUUUGAGCAGAAAAAAACAUGAUAAAAAGGAUCCCUCUGAAUGUAGGGCAGAGUCUAGGGCACGGUCCACAGACAACUGCCCGCUGGCCAGAUUGCUGCCCGCUUCGGUGUAGCCAGCAAGCUAAGAGUGCUGUGUACAUUUGUGAAUGGUUGGGAAAAAAUGAAUAAUAAUAUUUGGUGUCCCAGGAAAAGUAUGUGAAACUCAAAUUUUUGUGUCCAUUUUCAUUUUAGUGUUAUUGGAAUUGAGCCGCCCUUGUUACUUUGUGUAUGUCCAAAGCUGCCUUUGAGCAGCCUUAGCUGAACUGAGUCCUUUUAACAGACCACAUGGCCUGCCUCUGGCCCUUUUCAGAAAAAGUUACUGUUCCCUGUCUUGGGGGGAUGGAGUGGAAACAGAGGAGACCAGAGUAGACAUGGCAGAAGUGAAUGGUGGUCUGAACAGGCAGUAAGAAGUGAACAGAUGCAGGACCUGUUUCACAGCAAAAGCAGAUGUACUUUGUUCACAUGGGAAGAUUCCGGGUGAUGUGUGAGUGCGGCACUGAGUUACUGGAGAGUGCACUUGCCCUUUUGGGGGUUGGGAAGACUGUGGGAGUGACAGGUUGGGGAGGAGGGUGAGCAAGAGGCCAGAGUUGUAUUUUGGAUAUGUUGGCUUUAUGGUGCCAAGUGGAGGUGUUGGGUGUCAGUCACUUGUGAGUCCAACUCUGAGGAGAGGCUGAGGCUCAAAGUAAGUAUUGGAGUGUUUUCACAUAUUGCAGGAAGGCUUCCAAGCUGUGGGAGGGUGGAAAUCCUGUAGGGAGCACACUUGGAGGGCAAGUCCAAACCUGGAACCCUGGGGUGCCCAGCAUUAAGGGUAAGGAAGCAGACAAUGAGAGGGAGCAGCCAGAGAGCGCACUUGAGCAGAUUGGGGUGUCCUGGAAGCACAGUAUGGUUCUCUGUGUCGCAUGCUGCUCAAGGUCAAGCAAGAUGCCAACUAAAGAUUCACCAUGAAUUUGGCAGUGUGGAAGUCACUCGUGGCUCUGAUAAGAGGUGCCUGAGUGACGUGGUGAGACAGGAACCUGAAACCAGCUGGGUUAAUGAAAAUGGGAGGACAGGCAGUAGAGCUGGUGUGUAGGAGACUGUCUCCUAAAGCCUGAUUGCAGGCCAGGAAGGGGCAAGAGUGGGAUUUAACCUGAGAUUAGGAUUUUGCUAGUUGAGGUCAGUGGAGGAAAGGGUGUGAGGGAACUGAGUAGGAGAGUCCAUAUGACAGUGGAGAGUCCAUAUGACAGUGGAUUGUGUAAUUGAUGCCAGGCAAGGAGCAGGAUGCAGGGAGGAGAUGAGGGACAGCAGGAGGUUGUGGGGGUCAGCAGAUUCAAGGAGUUGUUGGAUUUGGGGUGGUCAAGAGUCGUGUGCUUGAAAUUGUCAUCGUGGAGGGUGCAGUUGUGGUUACAUCUAGAUCUAAGGCAGUAUUGUUCAAAAGCAAUGUCAGGGGAGCCAUGUUUAACUUUCCAUGUUCCAAUAGCCGUAUUUUUAAAAAAGUAAGGAGAAAGAAACACGAUAAAUUUUAAUAUUUCAUUAUAUUUAACCGGUUACAUCUCAAAUAUGUGAACAUGUGAACUGUGUACAAAUUAUUGCAAUGUAUCAAUUUUUUUGUAAGUCUUUGCAAUUGGUGUGUAUUUUAUAUUUCUAGCACACCUUACUUUAGACUGGGCACAUUUCAGGUGCUCAGAGGUCACAAGUGGCUCAUGGCUGCCAUAUUGCAGAGCAUAGGUCUUGGGAAUCACUGUGGAGGAAGUACAGUCCAAGGUUAUUGGAGGGUGGGUUUAAGGAACAGAGAAGCCAAGGUUCAUGAAGGAUUAUGUGGAUCUAAGCCACUUGGGAUUCCUUACAGAGUGGGGCCGCAGGGGUUAGGAGGCUGAGUGCUUUAAUCUGCCACCCAUCAAGUGAGUCUCAGCAUCUGUGGGACUAUGAGGGACUGCUCUUGCCUCAUCUUAAGUCCAGAAAUCAUGGGUAUGGGGCAUGCUUUCAGACUCACAAUAAAAUAUCAGAAACAUGGGCUAUAAUAUUGAGAGGAUCUUUUCAAAAUAGCAGCUUCCAGUCAGGGUUCACUCUCAUUCAGAAGGCAUUUCUUUGAGCCACUAAUGAAGAUGUUACCCAUGUGAAGAACUCAUUCCAGCCCAUUUUUUUUUUCCUCAAGAAAAAAAUAUCCGUUAGAUUUUUGUCUUUUAUUUUGACAUAAAUCUUUAGAUGCUGAUCUUUAUUUUGGCAUAAUCCUCAAAUCCCUCAAAUUCUGUUUGUAAUACUUAGCUCAACAAUCUUAAACACGCUUGAAUCCCUGCAGAAGCCGACAUUUAGGAGUUUCAAGGCAGUCCACAUGAUACGCGGACAGCAGCAUGCAGCCUGGCUACCCUCUCUGCUCCUUUUGAUAGGGUACAUGUGGUAAUAUAUUUUAUAUAUACAUGCAUAUCUGUUUGUGUGUGUGUGUGUGUGUGUGUGUGUGUGUAUAAAUAUUGGCUUUGAUCCACAGUGAGUCUUUAAAGAUCAAUAAAAAUGGAUGAUGUCAGGAAGCUGUUUUUGGCCUUAUAGGCCAGGAAAAAGGAAAAUGUUUUGAAGGGGUAGACAGGAACACUUCCACAGCUCAGUUGCUAUCACUACUUUUCAUAUUUAAAGUUAACACAAGCUGCUCGUCUGAAUCCCAAUGGAAAAGGUGAAUGGAUAUUCCAGUUCUGUACCUUUAUCAAAUUCAGAUGUACCUUAGAUUCCUUUCAGUUUGUUUCCUGUAGUAUUAGGAUUAACAGCAGCAACAACAAAAAUCCUCCCAGCUCAGAUAUUUAGGAAGAAGAACCCAUUUUGAAUCUGUGUUUAUGUGCCCCCUGUUCUCAGAUGCUAUGUGUGUUGAAGGAGCAGUUGUUCAUUUUGUAGGUGCCAGUGUCAGGGAAUGAGGGAUCCAAGUGGUCCCAAGCACCUAGGCUUUGGUAAUCUCAGAGCAGUGUGAGAGUCUGCUGGGUCAGAACUGUCUUCCCUCUGGGUGUGGUGCCUCCUCUCUGCACUGUAGUGUUCCCUGAGAGCAAGCCCAGGAAACGCCACUUAGUAACGAGGAAAGCUUUCUCCUUAUGUGAGUUUUCUAAUUAAAAUGUUUUCCAUCUGAUGGGGAAGUGUGUGAAUAUCAAGAACUGGAAAUUAAGCAAGAAAUUAAAAGAACAUUAAUGGUUUCUUUGCAAUUUGUUUUGAGGUUUUCCUCACUAAGUGGUAUUUUGCUUACAAAGUCACCCUUUCACACAUAAAUCUUUAUGACAAAUGGACUGGAAUAUAUCCCAGCAAAAGAAGAGCUAUGGUGUCAUGUGUAAAUUAUAUCACACAUUGUGAAAGAGAACCCAAAGCAUUCACUUUUUAAAAAAGCAUUGUUAGUGCAGUUACUUAAUUGGUGUAUACAAAAUUAUAGUUUAUUUGAAAGUGAAGGUUGGUUUGUCUAGAGGACUGGAAGAAUAAGUGUUCUGACAUUUGUUCAUUGUUUGAAUUUACACUCCAGACACCAGAAUGCUCAAUAAAUCCAAAGUGUGAUUUACUGACUCUUUAAAAAGUUCACUGCUGAAACUUUAUCCAUCGCAACCAGUGUCCCUUCACCCCGAGGUAUGUUUGAUCUGCAGUAGGCAGGCACCUGCCCUUCCUGGUCCUUGGGCCUCAGGGAGUGCAUCGAAUGCCACACUGGCAGUUUUGUUUGUUUUGUUAUCUGGAUUUGUGUCUACUAGUAAAGUCUUCAUUAAGCUGCAGCUUCUACCUCUGGGUGGAGAAGUAGGUGGAAACAGGGAACUGUCAAACUCUGUAGCCCUUCCCGGCCUACCUCAAAGUGCCCCCACCCACAGCCUCUCACCUGCCUCUUCUCUCUCCUAGACCUCAGGGUACUGCAUGUUCUGUCUGCUGUGCUUUCAGUUUCCUUCUCUGGCCCAGCCCUUCCUCCCUACUUCCGUUUAUUCUGGUGGACAGCCUUUAGGGGCCAGCCCAGAUGCCACUUCUUCAUGCACCCUUUCUUGGGCUCCAUUCUGCAUAGUCCAUCCUUUGGUUCAUUCUUCUCCUUCCCAUAUCCCCUGUGAGGACUGUCGCCAUGAAAAUGUCAUGAUCUCUUUAUUGGUGUCUUUAAUCUACUAAAUCAGGAGCUCUUUGGGAGCAGGUGCUGGGCCUCCCUUAGAUUUCUGUUUCCCUAGAACCCAGCCCAGCACCUGCACAUGGUUGUGAGUGAAUGAAUUCGGGUGGAUGGGUGGGGGAGUGAUGGUGGGGUAAUGUACCUUCAAGUCAAAAAGGUAAACUUGAUUCCUGUUUUGGAGAAAGAGAAGAAUAAAUACUGUUUUUGUUUAUACAGGUCUUAAAAUUUUGGUAGCAGAGAGCAAAUGUGCAGAGAGCAAUGGAAAACAAGUCAGAAGCUGCUGUCUGAUUCCAGAGAAGGUCACAUUUUAUGCAAAAAGAAAAAAAGUAAUUUACAUUUGAUCACCUUGAGAUCUUCAAUUUGUCAUUGUGAUAUCUUAAGUAACUAAUGAUUAAGUGAAAUAAAUCUUGGGAAAAUAGAUCACAAAUGGAAUGAGGACUUUGCAUUGUAAGAAACCCACAACUCUUUUCUUUUCACAACAUGACCUUUUUAAAAAGUACCUUAU